rnacentral:rRNA from 1 species
GAUGAACGCUGGCGGCGUGCUUAACACAUGCAAGUCGAACGAUGAUCUCCAGCUUGCUGGGGGGAUUAGUGGCGAACGGGUGAGUAAUACGUGAGUAACCUGCCCUUGACUCUGGGAUAAGCCUGGGAAACUGGGUCUAAUACCGGAUAUGACUCCUCAUCGCAUGGUGGGGGGUGGAAAGCUUUAUUGUGGUUUUGGAUGGACUCGCGGCCUAUCAGCUUGUUGGUGAGGUAAUGGCUUACCAAGGCGACGACGGGUAGCCGGCCUGAGAGGGUGACCGGCCACACUGGGACUGAGACACGGCCCAGACUCCUACGGGAGGCAGCAGUGGGGAAUAUUGCACAAUGGGCGAAAGCCUGAUGCAGCGACGCCGCGUGAGGGAUGACGGCCUUCGGGUUGUAAACCUCUUUCAGUAGGGAAGAAGCGAAAGUGACGGUACCUGCAGAAGAAGCGCCGGCUAACUACGUGCCAGCAGCCGCGGUAAUACGUAGGGCGCAAGCGUUAUCCGGAAUUAUUGGGCGUAAAGAGCUCGUAGGCGGUUUGUCGCGUCUGCCGUGAAGUCCGGGGCUCAACUCCGGAUCUGCGGUGGGUACGGGCAGACUAGAGUGAUGUAGGGGAGACUGGAAUUCCUGGUGUAGCGGUGAAAUGCGCAGAUAUCAGGAGGAACACCGAUGGCGAAGGCAGGUCUCUGGGCAUUAACUGACGCUGAGGAGCGAAAGCAUGGGGAGCGAACAGGAUUAGAUACCCUGGUAGUCCAUGCCGUAAACGUUGGGCACUAGGUGUGGGGGACAUUCCACGUUUUCCGCGCCGUAGCUAACGCAUUAAGUGCCCCGCCUGGGGAGUACGGCCGCAAGGCUAAAACUCAAAGGAAUUGACGGGGGCCCGCACAAGCGGCGGAGCAUGCGGAUUAAUUCGAUGCAACGCGAAGAACCUUACCAAGGCUUGACAUGGACUGGAAAUACCUGGAAACAGGUGCCCCGCUUGCGGCCGGUUCACAGGUGGUGCAUGGUUGUCGUCAGCUCGUGUCGUGAGAUGUUGGGUUAAGUCCCGCAACGAGCGCAACCCUCGUUCUAUGUUGCCAGCGCGUGAUGGCGGGGACUCAUAGGAGACUGCCGGGGUCAACUCGGAGGAAGGUGGGGACGACGUCAAAUCAUCAUGCCCCUUAUGUCUUGGGCUUCACGCAUGCUACAAUGGCCGGUACAAAGGGUUGCGAUACUGUGAGGUGGAGCUAAUCCCAAAAAGCCGGUCUCAGUUCGGAUUGGGGUCUGCAACUCGACCCCAUGAAGUCGGAGUCGCUAGUAAUCGCAGAUCAGCAACGCUGCGGUGAAUACGUUCCCGGGCCU